AGACUCUCCCGGACGGUGGCAUGCCCGAC
rnacentral:piRNA from 1 species